GAACGCUAGCGACAGGCCUAACACAUGCAAGUCGAGGGGCAGCACAAGGAGCAAUCUGAGGUGGCGACCGGCGCACGGGUGAGUAACACGUAUGCAACCUGCCUGUAAGCGGGGAAUAACCCGUUGAAAGACGGACUAAUACCGCAUAAUACUAAAUUACUGCAUGGUAAUUUAUUUAAACAUUUAUGGCUUACAGAUGGGCAUGCGCAUGAUUAGCUAGUUGGAGAGGUAACGGCUCCCCAAGGCAACGAUCAUUAGGGGUUCUGAGAGGAAGGUCCCCCACACUGGUACUGAGACACGGACCAGACUCCUACGGGAGGCAGCAGUGAGGAAUAUUGGUCAAUGGACGAGAGUCUGAACCAGCCAAGUCGCGUGCAGGAAGAAUGUUCCCUAUGGAUUGUAAACUGCUUUUGCAGGGGAAUAAAGUGCAUCACGUGUGAUGUUUUGUAUGUACUCUGCGAAUAAGGAUCGGCUAACUCCGUGCCAGCAGCGGC
rnacentral:rRNA from 1 species